AGACUUCUCAGCAUAAUGGUUUGUUUUCUGAAUUCAAAAUUGAAGGAUAUACUACGCUUCACUUAGAGGAAGGAAGGAAGGAAAGAAGCAUUUAAGCACCUGGCAACGUACUAAAAGCUUUACAAAUUUUAUCUGAUUUGGUACCGAUAACAACUGUGGGAGAUGAAGAAACUGAGGCUCAGAAACUGGAAAUAUUUCACCCUAAAUCAUGCAGAUAAUAAAUGAGAGAACCGGAGCUAGAAUU
rnacentral:lncRNA from 1 species